AUACUUUUCUGAAUUUAUAAAAAAAUGUGAAUACUAUGGUAGAUAAGGCGAGUAUACUUAUGUUUGUUUUCUUUAUUUGCAAAUGUGUAAUUUGGCUGGAAGGAGUUCAAUAAUUUGUAUUUUGCUGAGAAGGAUUUUUAA